UACGUAGGGACCAAGCGUUGUCCGGAAUCAUUGGGCGUAAAGAGCGUGUAGGCGGCUUGUUAAGUCUUGCGUGAAAUCUCGGGGCUCAACCCCGAGCGGUCGUGAGAAACUGGCAGGCUAGAGUGCGGGAGAGGAGAGUGGAAUUCCUGGUGUAGCGGUGAAAUGCGCAGAUAUCAGGAAGAACACCCGUGGCGAAGGCGGCUCUCUGGAACGCAACUGACGCUGAGGAGCGAAAGCGUGGGGAGCGAACAGG
rnacentral:rRNA from 1 species